rnacentral:lncRNA from 1 species
AGGAACUUAUCUGUAUAUUCAUCAACGCUCAUCACCUCCGUCUGUCUCAACUGCUCAAACUCUACAACCUUUAGUUCUCUGGAACUGUCAGGAAAAGCCCAUCCAGCAAAUUCGUUGGCGAACUCUUCCCAUGUCAUACUCUCAAGUCUCGGGUCCACAUAGUUCUUGAACCAUUCUCUAGCUUUCUUACACUUUAACGUGAACCCUGCCAUCUCAAU